rnacentral:rRNA from 1 species
UACGGAGGAUGCAAGCGUUAUCCGGAAUGAUUGGGCGUAAAGCGUCCGCAGGUGGCUGUGUAAGUCUGCUGUCAAAGAGCAAAGCUCAACUUUGUAAAGGCAGUGGAAACUACACGGCUAGAGUGCGGUAGGGGCAGAGGGAAUUCCCAGUGUAGCGGUGAAAUGCGUAGAGAUUGGGAAGAACACCGGUGGCGAAAGCGCUCUGCUGGGCCGCAACUGACACUAAUGGACGAAAGCUAGGGGAGCGAAUGGG